rnacentral:rRNA from 1 species
UACGGGGGGGGCAAGCGUUGUUCGGAAUUACUGGCGUAAAGGGCUCGUAGGCGGCCAACUAAGUCACACGUGAAAUCCCUCGGCUCAACCGGGGAACUGCGUGUGAGACUGGAUGGCUUGAGUUUGGGAGAGGAAUGCGGAAUUCCAGGUGUAGCGGUGAAAUGCGUAGAUAUCUGGAGGAACACCGGUGGCGAAGGCGGCAUUCUGGACCAAUACUGACGCUGAGGAGCGAAGCCAGGGAGCAAAGCGGG